UGCGUAGGUGGCGCGCUAAGUCGGGUGUGAAAUCCCGGGGCUUAACCUCGGGACUGCAUUCGAUACUGGCGUGCUUGAGGACUGGAGAGGAGACUGGAAUUCAUGGUGUAGCAGUGAAAUGCGUAGAGAUCAUGAGGAAGACCAGUGGCGAAGGCGGGUCUCUGGACAGUUCCUGACACUGAGGCACGAAGGCCAGGGGAGCAAACG
rnacentral:rRNA from 1 species